rnacentral:lncRNA from 1 species
AAUAUUGAUAGCGAGUUAGGUGGACAAGCAAGCAUAUGGCGGCAUGUACAAUGAGAUCACUUGAGUGAAACACAUUAACCAAAACUUAUGAGUGAAUGAGUGUAUGUCUUGUGAGAAGCUCACAUGUUUGCAUAUGAUGAUUUAAAGGAGUUUGGAAUUGCAUUGACAUGGCUAGCUCACACAUGGCUUUUCAACGUUUUGUUUGAAGGAAAUUUGGUUAACUAUUGGAUGAUGUUUUGAGCUCUUGUUACUUACUUCUUGGUUGUUUGUUUCAUGAUUAGCACUUAUCUCUGAAAUCGAGUUUGAGAAGUUGGCUACUAAGUUGUUGAAUCUAGUCUUAGUUGAGUGGUGUUGUUUUGUGUUUUGUUUUGCUAGAGGACUAGCAAAAAUGUAAGUUUGGGGGUAUUUGAUCUCUCAUAUAUUUCAUGCAUUUAUACC